UACGAAGGGGGCUAGCGUUGCUCGGAAUCACUGGGCGUAAAGCGCACGUAGGCGGAUUGCUAAGUCAGGGGUGAAAUCCUGGAGCUCAACUCCAGAACUGCCUUUGAUACUGGCGAUCUCGAGUCCGGGAGAGGUGAGUGGAAUUCCUAGUGUAGAGGUGAAAUUCGUAGAUAUUAGGAAGAACACCAGUGGCGAAGGCGGCUCACUGGCCCGGUACUGACGCUGAGGCGCGAAAGCGUGGGGAGCAAACAGG
rnacentral:rRNA from 1 species